ACUGAACGCUGGCGGCAUGCCUUACACAUGCAAGUCGAACGGUAACGGGUCCUUCGGGAUGCCGACGAGUGGCGAACGGGUGAGUAAUAUAUCGGAACGUGCCCAGUAGUGGGGGAUAACUGCUCGAAAGAGCAGCUAAUACCGCAUACGACCUGAGGGUGAAAGGGGGGGAUCGCAAGACCUCUCGCUAUUGGAGCGGCCGAUAUCAGAUUAGCUAGUUGGUGGGGUAAAGGCCUACCAAGGCAACGAUCUGUAGUUGGUCUGAGAGGACGACCAGCCCCACUGGGACUGAGACACGGCCCAGACUCCUACGGGAGGCAGCAGUGGGGAAUUUUGGACAAUGGGCGCAAGCCUGAUCCAGCAAUGCCGCGUGCAGGAAGAAGGCCUUCGGGUUGUAAACUGCUUUUGUCAGGGAAGAAAUCUUCUGGGCUAAUACCCCGGGAGGAUGACGGUACCUGAAGAAUAAGCACCGGCUAACUACGUGCCAGCAGCCGCCGCCG
rnacentral:rRNA from 1 species